AUUGGGGCGAGGUUUCAGCAAGUCAAGGAGGACCAAGAAUUGCACACAACUACCAGAAGCCAGGCAAGAGGCGUGGAACAAAGUCUCUCUUACAGCCCUCAGAAGGAAACAAUCUUCUAACACUUCGAUCUUGGACUUCUGGCCUCCCAAACUAUUUAUUCAUUUGAGAGAGAGAAAGAGAAAGAGAUCAUGUGUCAGCAGGGGGAGGAGCAGAGGGAGAAGGAGGGAACCUUCAAUCCUCAGAGAAUCAUCUGCUGAGUACAGAGCCCACUCCAGAGCUCACUCCAGAGCUCAAUCUCAGGAACCGUGAGAUCAUGACCUGAGCUGAAAUCAAGAUCAGAUGCUUAACUGACGGAGCCACCAAGAUGGUUAACAAGAGCUCACAGUUAAAACACUGCCAACAAAAUGUACUCAUGGAAGUGUCACAUUAUCCUAAUAGAGAGAAGAACCCAACUAGAAGAGAACCAUUUGACUGCCUUUGGGCCAUUGAUUCCUCUCCUGCCUGGAAGACAGCACAAAGCUUCAGAGAAUUCAAGCAUGCUCCUCGUUAGGAAAUUGGGAAUUAAUUUAUAUAUGGUACCUGGAAGAGUUAAACUUCUAUUUUUCGUGACUAGCACUGACCAUAUGGGCAUAAUCCCAGUGCCCCAAAUAUCAUCAGACGAUAAAGGACUGGCAUGGCCAAAAGAUUUCCAAACUAGAGCAUAUUAUGUUAACCAGUAG
rnacentral:lncRNA from 1 species